CGACGUAGCUCAGUUGGUAGAGCUACUGAUUUGUAAUCAGUGGGUCCGCGGUUCGAGUCCGUGCGUCGG
rnacentral:tRNA from 1 species